GACAGAGGGUGCAAACGUUGUUCGGAAUUACUGGGCGUAAAGCGCGUGUAGGCGGCUAAGCAAGUCGGGCGUGAAAUCCCAUGGCUCAACCAUGGAAGUGCACCCGAAACUGCAUAAGCUAGAGUCCUGGAGAGGAAGGUGGAAUGCUUGGUGUAGAGGUGAAUUCGUAGAUAUACGGAAGGAACAUCAAGUGGCGAAAGGCGAACUUCCUGGACCAAUACUGACGCUCCAUGUGCGAAAGCGUGGGGAGCAAACAGGAUUAAGAUACC
rnacentral:rRNA from 1 species